UAUAUUAAUAUAUUUUCUACUGGAAGCAUAUAAUGUUCUAAUUGUGAGAGAUGUUUAAAAUUGUAAUUUCAACCAGAAGUAAAUUUUUUCUUUUGAAGGAAAUGUUCUCUUUAUACAGCCUAGUUAAUGUU